rnacentral:tRNA from 2 species
UCUAUAGCUCAGUAGGAUAGAGCGCUCCCCUCCUAAGGGAGAGGUCGCAGGUUCGAUUCCUGCUAGGCG